rnacentral:lncRNA from 1 species
UAAAAUGAAUACAUUUUCUCAAAUUUGUGUGUUAAAAUAGAAAGAACCAUUCAACAAAUAUUCACACAUUCAACAAAUCACCAUCUUCCAUUUCUACAAUUUGCCUAUCCGACUUAGCAUGUGCCUACCCCGCUUGACCUAUCAUAGCACUAUCACAAUCAACUACGUCAAUGAAUCAAAACAACAAUAUUCACUUUAUCAACUUUCAAUCCCCGUCCCAUUUAACUAAUUUUAAUUGUUAAUGAGAUAUUAUUUCAUCACACAACCCAUAAUCAAUCCAUAAUCAAGGAAAUCAAACACUGAAUCAAAACAACCAAUAAUUCACAUCAUCAAAGAACAACCAAUCAAUUCGAUGUAUCGAAUAUAACAAACAACAAAAUAAAAGAAAGAAGAAAUAGAAUUGGACCUCAAUUCGAAGAUCUUGAAAUUCAAUAAUACUUCAAUAAAAGGACAGAAUCGGCGAUGAAGAACCUCGAUUCGGAGCCUCUAUUCGAACCCCAGCUCCGGUAUGCAUUUUUUUUUAAUUUUCUAUUGACCCAAAACAGAAAUCGCCAAAAAUAGACAAACCCGAACCCGAUUUUGUGCAACUCGACCCUGUUUCACUCUUUUCCAGCAGAAUUCACAAGAAUCGAAGUAGGGUUCACCGUUCCCGAUUCACAGGAGCUCCGAUGAGCUCAAGCGAUGGCAGAGAGACUCGGGUUAGGUUGGAUUUUGAUCGAAUUUUGGGGUGUUUCUCACUGGUCCCAUUAUUUCGGCUAGAACAAUGGAGGACGAGAGUGAGGGUGUGAUUUUUCCAGCCAGCGUCACGUUUUUCGAUUAGUUUUCUUUCUUCGAUGUUUGCGUUCACUCUCUCCCUCGUCUGUUUUUCUCAAUUUCGAUCAGCUCCCUCCCAUUUUUCUACUAAUUCUCUCAUUUUUCCUAUCUCUCUUGGUCCCUCACUGUGUCCUUCCCUUUAGCUGUGUGUAUAUGUGCGUCGAUGGGUAUGGAUGAAAAUGAAGGAUUAUUAGAAUGAAAGAAAUGGAGAAUCUCAGAUCUGUGUUACUGUUAUGUGCGUUAAUUGUGUGUCGUUGUGAUGUAAUUUCUUCGAGGGUGGUGUAUAUGGCGUGAGGUGAAUUUUUUGGUGAAGAAGAUGACCUCUUUUUCUAUUUCUGUCCUCCUCUAUAUAUAGAAAUAGCGUGUAAAAUAAAAGUGGAUAGGGGUUACGUGGGUAGGUAGGGUAGGAGGAUAUUCGGUGGUGAUGUGUUUUUUUUUAAUUGGAAAGGUUGU